AGUGAACGCUGGCGGUAGGCCUAACACAUGCAAGUCGAACGGCAGCACAGGAGAGCUUGCUCUCUGGGUGGCGAGUGGCGGACGGGUGAGGAAUACAUCGGAAUCUACUCUGUCGUGGGGGAUAACGUAGGGAAACUUACGCUAAUACCGCAUACGACCUACGGGUGAAAGCAGGGGACCUUCGGGCCUUGCGCGAUUGACUGAGCCGAUGUCGGAUUAGCUAGUUGGCGGGGUAAAGGCCCACCAAGGCGACGAUCCGUAGCUGGUCUGAGAGGAUGGUCAGCCACACUGGAACUGGGACACGGUCCAGACUCCUACGGGAGGCAGCAGUGGGGAAUAUUGGACAAUGGGCGCAAGCCUGAUCCAGCCAUACCGCGUGGGUGAAGAAGGCCUUCGGGUUGUAAAGCCCUUUUGUUGGGAAAGAAAUCCAGCUGGCUAAUACCCGGUUGGGAUGACGGUACCCAAAGAAUAAGCACCGGCUAACUUCGUGCCAGCAGCCGCCGUAA
rnacentral:rRNA from 1 species